rnacentral:rRNA from 1 species
GACGAACCGUGCAAACGUUGUUCGGAUUCACUGGGCUUAAAGGGCGCGUAGGCGGGUGGUCAAGUCAGAGGUGAAAUCUUUCGGCUCAACCGGAAAAGUGCCCCUGAUACUGGCCAUCUCGAGGGAGGUAGGGGCAUGUGGAACUUCCGGUGGAGCGGUGAAAUGCGUAGAUAUCGGAAGGAACGCCGGUGGCGAAAGCGACGUGCUGGACCUCUUCUGACGCUGAGGCGCGAAAGCUAGGGGAGCGAACGGG